UGUGACUCUACUCUGAUAGUCUUGUAGGAACUGAUGUCACUGCCCCACACUCCUCUUGUCCUAUUCUAAUGUCAUGUCUUUCCCUAUGUCUUUCCAGCAGUGCCUGUGGGCUCCUGAAGGAAAGGAGAGAUGAGAUCAUUAUGGGCAGAACUUAGAACCUCUGGAUGAAUAGAGACGAGGUAAAAUUCUGGCACCUAUCCACAGCCUGAACCUUGGAGAGCACCUCCCUUUCAUAUGACUUCUGCAAAGGGCAUGUUUCAGCUCACAGGGACAAAGAGUCACUGCACCAGAGAACCAGAAAGAGUGAAGAAAUGUUUGUCCCCGGUGCUGAGAACACCACAGAUGAUCUUUCUGCCCAGAGCCACCAUCUUGUCUCUAAAUAUCAGGGUUAUCAAUGCCUGGCCAUCUCUUUUCAAUUUGGGACAACUGCCAGCGACCACUAGCUAGCUCCAGAAUUCCUCAGGUAUGGAAGCUGUCCCUGGGUCUCCAUCACAUCUGACUUCUUCUUCUUUCCAAUUAUGCUUCUUCUCCCACCUCCACUUUCACAAGUGUGUUCCUCAAAGGAGCUCCUUUGUUAAAUGGCCUGUACCUAAAUGUCAUCCCACAGUCUGCUUCUUGGGGUAAUCCAAAA
ensembl:lincRNA